rnacentral:rRNA from 1 species
GAUGAACGCUGGCGGCGUGCCUAAUACAUGCAAGUCGAGCGAACAGACGAGGAGCUUGCUCCUCUGACGUUAGCGGCGGACGGGUGAGUAACACGUGGAUAACCUACCUAUAAGACUGGGAUAACUUCGGGAAACCGGAGCUAAUACCGGAUAACAUGUUGAACCGCAUGGUUCAACAGUGAAAGACGGUCUUGCUGUCACUUAUAGAUGGAUCCGCGCCGCAUUAGCUAGUUGGUAAGGUAACGGCUUACCAAGGCAACGAUGCGUAGCCGACCUGAGAGGAUGAUCGGCCACACUGGAACUGAGACACGGUCCAGACUCCUACGGGAGGCAGCAGUAGGUAAUCUUCCGCAAUGGGCGAAAGCCUGACGGAGCAACGCCGCGUGAGUGAAGAAGGUCUUCGGAUCGUAAAACUCUGUUAUUAGGGAAGAACAAAUGUGUAAGUAACUAUGCACGUCUUGACGGUACCUAAUCAGAAAGCCACGGCUAACUACGUG